rfam:Aedes albopictus isolate Foshan contig21766, whole genome shotgun sequence.
GACUCCGUAGCUUGAUGGAAUAGAAGCGCCCGUCUAACGAAUUGGGAGUCGUGAGUUCGAGUCUCACCGGAGUAC